rnacentral:lncRNA from 1 species
GGCCUUUCCGCCGCCGCCGGCAUCGGCGUCGACGAUCUCCGUCGCCUUUGCAUCCUCCGCAUGAGUUUCGUCAAAGGUUGGGGACCCGAUUACCCCAGGCAAAGCAUUAAAGAGACGCCAUGUUGGAUCGAAAUCCACCUCCAUCGAGCUCUUCAACUUUUGGAUGAAGUCCUGCACACGAUGCCCAUCGCCGAUCCGCAACCGUUGGACUGAAAUUCGGUGUCGGAAAGGCGCUGCGCCCGUCGGGUUUCGCUUUCGCUUUCGGUUUCACUUUCGGUUUCGGUUUGUUUUUUUUUUUUUUUUUCCUCGCUCUUUCGGGUUUGGGAGAAAUAAAAAGAUUGAUUCGGUCUCAACGCGGAGCUGAAAGGAGUUUUUGUUUCGUUACGGGGGUGAUUAGCGCUAUUGGGUCGUUAAUAAGCCUUCAGUUUAAUUAAUUAUGUCAUUUGUUCAUGAGUAAUCCCACCUAUCGCGUCAAUUAUGGGGUUAAUCUAUCAAUAAUCCUACCAACCUAUCAAUAAUCUCAUCAAUAAUCAGAUUAAUCCAUCACUAAUCACAUCAAUAAUCAGAUUAAUCCAUCAGUAAUGUAAUGAAUUCAUCACUAAUCCCAUUGAUAAUCAAAUUAAUCCAUCAAUAAUCCCAUCAAUCCAUCAUUAAUUCCAUCAGUAAUCAGAUUAAUACGUCAAUAACCCAAUUAAUCCAUCAAUAAUCCCAUCAAUUAUCAAAUGAAUCCAUCAAUAAUCCCAUUAGUCCACCAAUAAUCCCAUCAAUCUCUCAAUAAUCCCAUCAAUAAUCCCGUUAAUCUAUCAAUAAUCCCAUCAAUCCAGCAGUAUUCCUAUUAAUAAUUAAAUUAAUCCAUCACUAAUCCCAUCAAUAAUCAGGUUAAUCCAUCAAUAAUCAAAUUAACCCAUCAAUAAUCCCAUCAAUUAUCAAGUGAACCCAUCAAUAAUCCCAUUAAUCAAUAAUCCCAUCAAUCCCUCAAUAAUCCCAUCAAUAAUCCAAUUAAUCUAUCAAUAAUCCCAUCAAUCCAGCAGUAUUCUCAUUAAUAAUUAAAUUAAUCCAUCACUAAUUCCAUCAAUAAUCAAAUUAAUUCAUCACUAAUCAAAUUAAUCCAUCAAUAAUCCCAUCAAUCCAUCAUUAAUCUCAUCAACAUAUCAUUAAUUCCAUCAAUUAUCAGAUUAAUCCAUCAAUAAUUGCAUCAAUAAUGAGAUUAACCUACCUAUAGUCCCAUCAAUCUAUCACUAAUCGCAUCAAUCCAUCAUUAAUUCCAUCAGUAAUCAGAUUAAUCCAUCAAUAACCCAAUUAAUCCAUCAAUAAUCCCAUCAAUUAUCAAAUGAAUCCAUCAAUAAUCCCAUUAAUCCACCCAU